UCCUGGAGACUUCAACAGGUUUCGGAGCAGGUCACCAUCUGCUCUGAAAAGUCCUUUCCCAUCAGUUAUAGAUUGUGCAUAUCAUGGAAUAUCUAUUACUUACACCCUUUUCUUUACACAAUUUUUAAAUGCUACUAAAAGUGUGAAAAAUAAAACAAAUAGAGCACUUUCACUGCACUCUUGCAUUGAAAGAAGAGCUCCCUGGGAUAGGUCCUGCUCAGUCCUGGAGUUUCUCCAGGCCUCUGGCUUCUCUGCAGCUGCCAGGCACAGAUCCGAUCCUGGAGCAGGAGGUGUCCUGACUCUGCGUGGGUCUGGUGAGACACGGCACAAGAAACGGAGCCCUGCCUGGAAGGGGCCAUGGAUCACAGUGACAAAAGCAAACAAAUGCAACAUCUGUGGUGACACCCUGACUUCAGCCCACCCCAAGCGAUGCAGCACAGAGAGAGUGAUGCAAGAGAUCCUGCAAUCCCCAAAAUGCGACGAUGCAUCUCCAAGAGUUACAGAGGGAGAGAGAUUUUAAUGCAUAAGGAUCAGCCUGCCAUGACAAGCCCCGGCAACAUUCAUACGGGCAUCGGUGGAGCAGUUAAGUGAGUGAGAAAUGGGGCAGGGUUCGGACUUCUGUCAGUUCCUCAGCUUCGUUUAAGUUUUAGUUUCACUUGCUGAAGGAAAGCUAAGUUCAGGGACAAGCCAGCAAGCACAGAAGCUGGUCACAUUAGCUGCAAGUGUGGUUUGCUACGUAAAUCCACAAUCCUGAAUUUUAACAGGAAGGGGAAACAUUCAGUUUGCAAAUGUGAACCAACUGAUGUGAUGGCAAAGCUCUUAUGGACUUCUGCCCAGCCAACAGGCAAGGGGCCUCCACUCCCUACUGAAAGAAGAUGCUGGGAUUAAUGAAACACCAUCCUUGUUGUUAAGGCCAGGAUUCGGCUUAGCUCACUUAACACCUCACCUGCUUAGUGUGAACUCUUACAGGACACAAACCUGACGGCGCGUGCUGGAGGGGUCAUAUUGAGCUCUGCAGCCUCCUGCUGUCACAGUUUUAUUGUAAAGCUAUAGCCAACGCCGACACGAGUCUUUGGGCAUCAGCUGCUUUUUGCACUGUUUUAAAUGCAGGUACCUGUGCCGCCAGCCUCGAUCAUCUCCCCCACUUUUUCUCCCUUGGAGCCAUUACCGCCUGUCGCAUAAACCCGCCUGGGUUUACACUUGAUUGACGGGAGGGACGGUAACAGCUCCUUUAGUGUCGUUCUGGUCUGUCAGGUUAGUGUGGCUGGUAUGCAUGCGCACAGGGUAUGCAUGAUAAAAAACACCCUGACAUCUUCCUGAAAAAUGUGGCUGCGUAUUUCCAGCUCUGAAGGCUAGGAGAGGCCCUCCUCGGCCAUCUGGCCCCUUCUGCCCCUCGCUCUUCACUCCGAGCAUUGGAAGUCCUAUGCACGCCCUCCUUGACGGGUACAAUCCACUUUCCUAUUGAGCACAAGACGCUUUCCGCAAUCUUGCUCACUCUUUACCCAGGCAAAAUUUCCAGAGAGUCUCUGACAACUUCCUUCAAAAAACUAUUCCAUCAGCUGCCUGGCUUUUGUUAUACUAUGCAAUUUGAAUCCUCUGCUAAAGAAAGUCCUGUCUGUGGCACUGGACGCUGGCAGAAGCAGGAUAGAGGACCAGAUGAACCACGUUUUUCAUCCAAGAUGACAAGGAUCCUCAAAUUUUCCCCCUACUUUAGU